UCUGAUCGAGUGAAGCUUACAUCGAGAGGUGGUGAGCGACUGCGGCUUUUCAUCCCGAAACCUGAAGAAAAUACCAUUUAAAAAGCUUAUGACCAGUAUACUAGCAUCACAACUGUGAUUCUAAGGUUUAACCUUCAAGAAGAAUACGUCAAAUUGACCUAAAGAAGCAAGUAAUCCAGACAGGGAAGCUACCAAGUGAAUGUCCAAGAGACUGCCAGCUAGCUAACGUAGCUAGCUUGGAUCAGUAGAAUCCUCAACCACGAUCUGGUGUGAAAACAUUGCUAUUUUGUAUCGACUUAUUCUCUGUUUAGCAACAAAGUAGCCCGCCAGGGAAUACAAUCAGAAACCAAGCUUGCUGCUUGGCCAUGUUGAAACAACAGCCCAGCUCCGGUGGGCGAAAAACCUCCAACUGGACUCCGGGCCCUGUCAGUAUGUCUUCCACAGCCAGUGGGAUCAACAACAGAGCACAGGUUGGGAGCUUCCCAGGCAACAUCCGCAGCAGGAAGGCUGUCAUACAAAAUCAGAUUUCCCAAAGCAACAUAGACAGGCUCCUGGAUCUCCUCUUCAACGAGGCCACCCUUGAUCCAGCGCCAUAUGUGGGGAAGCUGUGUGAGCUGUCCAUCCCAGGACCCCUGUCUGCCCAGUGUGAGAGGCCUGACAAGUAGGAGGCCAUAGCUGGAUUUGUCUCCCACUUCAAUACCCACCUGCUUCAAGAUGUCUACUAUUAUCGACUACAGCUCGGCCUUCUAUACCACAGUGCCCGAUAAGCUCAUUAGAAAGCUCACCGCCCUGGGUCUGAAUUCCUCCCUAUGCAACUGGAUCCUGGACUUCCCGAAGGCCAGCCCCAUGGUGGUGAAGGACACCUACAACACCAGGUGUCGCAGGAAGGCCAAGAAGAUCAUCAGAGACCCCAGCCACCCAAGCCAUGCCCCUGUCUCCCUGCUUCAAUCACUCUGACACUGGCAGUACAGGAGCAUCAUGGCAAAUUAAGGCUGGCCAUUCUGCAGUCUGAUGGUAUAAACUAUUGGCCAUCACUGGUCAGCUACCACUCCACCCUCCCCGCUGAUACACACCCUAUGGACAUUCACCCUCAACGGUCACUUACUUUACCUGCUUCUCCCCUAUGGACAUUCUCUCUCCUGUUGCCCCCUAUGGCAUUUUACUCUGCACCCACCCCAAUGACAUUCAUCACUGUUGCAGUUGUGACGAUGUGUAUUACUUUAUUUUUGUAUUUUAUUUAUUUCACUUGAUCCCCACACCCCCUCAAUGGUUAUGCUGCUCCCCUAAGAUCAUUGCCCCCCCCACCCCCUCAAGUCUUUACUCUGCCUCCACCCCAAUGGACAUUUUAUUUAUUCAACACUGCCAUAGUUUUGUAUGUUGUGCGAUUUCUAUUGUUUUUAUUACCAUAUUCAUUUUAUUCCACUUAGACUUGCAUGUUGGAGCUUGACGCCUAAGAUUUUCAAUGUACCCUGCAAUCACACAUGCAACCCUGUACAUGUGUCAUCCCAUGUAAACCAUCUCUCUCUCCCACAAUGGAAAUAAGUCCCAGACUUUAUUGUGUGUUAUCCUCUGAUUUUAUUCAUGUGCAUGUAUGGCUUUUAAGUUUGUGUGCUUGUUUUUUAAAAUGGUCGAAUUAAUAAACUAAACUAAAACUAAACUCCUUGGUGAGGAUCAAAAGGACCCAUCAGCUAGGCCAAUAGCUGACAGACAGCCAAACUCUCUCUCUCUCUCUCUCUCUCUCUCUCUCUCUCCUGGGGGAGUUGACUUAACAACCGGAUCGUAAAUACCUGGCAGAAACUCUCCCUUUCGCUCUGCAGUAUUGAGAAUGGAAUGUCUGAGUACAACAGAGAGACUUUGCCAAAACUUCAAACAAUGAACAUUGGGAAAAUAUAUUUCAAUAUCCAAAUGUUGGGAAUUAUGACAGAUGGAAUAUGGAAAAUGUGUCUAUUUUGUGAUGUCAUUAAACUUAUCAGAAAUAAGUUAUAAUGGAAGCAUUGUAACUAAGAGCUUUCACAAUGUGUAUAUCAGAUUUACAUGUAAAUGUUGUACAACUUGUAUGAAUAAAUAUAGCAAUGUGAUUUUAUCCUUCUAAA